rnacentral:rRNA from 1 species
GAUGAACGCUGGCGGCGUGCCUAAUACAUGCAAGUCGAGCGAACAGAUGAGGAGCUUGCUCCCCUGACGUUAGCGGCGGACGGGUGAGUAACACGUGGAUAACCUACCUAUAAGACUUGGAUAACUUCGGGAAACCGGAGCUAAUACCGGAUAAUAUAUUGAACCGCUUGGUUCAAUAGUGAAAGGCGGUUUUGCUGUUACUUAUAGAUGGAUCCGCGCCGCAUUAGCUAGUUGGUAAGGUAACGGCUUACCAAGGCAACGAUGCGUAGCCGACCUGAGAGGGUGAUCGGCCACACUGGAACUGAGACACGGUCCAGACUCCUACGGGAGGCAGCAGUAGGGAAUCUUCCGCAAUGGGCGAAAGCCUGACGGAGCAACGCCGCGUGAGUGAUGAAGGUCUUCGGAUCGUAAAACUCUGUUAUUAGGGAAGAACAAAUGUGUAAGUAACUAUGCACGUCUUGACGGUACCUAAUCAGAAAGCCACGGCUAACUACGUG